CUAUCCCGUCAUUGAUUUUUUUACCCCGCCGUCCUCGUCUCCUUCGUAUCUGAUCUCCUCCCCGUCUUCUUCAAACCGCUGGAUCCUUCUCUCUGUCACUUGCAGCGCUCACCGGUCGCUCUAGAGCUCCUGUGCGCUCAUCCCUCUGCUCGAGCCGUGCCCUGCUGAGCUCCCUCGCCAUGGCCGCGGUGCCCCUCCCUGCUCGCCAUGUCCCUGUUGCGAGCUCUUCCCUAGCGCUGGAUUUCUCUCCCUGCGCGCGCUCCUGUGCCCAUGCGGAGCUCCCAGCGUCGUGUCCCCUUCCCUCUGCUCGCUCGGCGCCCAUCUCCUCCGGCGCCCACACGAAGCUCCCUCCAGCUCGCCCGAGCUCCUUCCCUGCUUCCAUGGCCGCUGCGCACUUGUCCCUGCUCGCUUCUUCUCGCGCGCACAAGCUUCUUGCUUGCUCGACUUCCUUCCUCUCUCUUCCCAUGGCGCGCAUCCUUCUGCGCCCGGCCCCCAACGCCACCGGUCAUCUUCGGCUCGCCGAGCGUCCCUGUCCCUGCUCGCCGUUCCGAGCUUGGCCCCGCGGUGAGCUCGCCGCUGGCCUUCUCUGGUGCUCCCUGCUCGCCCCUAUCUCUGUCCUCUGCCUGGUCGCCAUCCCCAAGCUGCGCCCCUCUGCUCGGCUAUGGCCCCCGCACACCAUGCUGUCCGAAUCCCCGCUCCUGCUCUGGCUCAUCUGCGCCACCACCGCAUCACUUCUCUCCUAUGGCGCCCGGAUCUCCACUCCCCUUCCUCCCUGCCCUCUGCUCCAGCUUGCAGUCGCUGCGUCGCUCAGUCCCUGGCCACGUCUGUGUGGUUGUGUUCUUUCGUCGGAAUGCUCAAUUUGCCGUGGUCCUGCGCUCUCUGCUCGGUUCGGCGUGGGUUUUAGUUGUCGGUCAAACGCACCCCUGUUUCCUUUAUCUUGUCGUCGUCGUUCGGUCACCUCACCUCGACUUGUGUUCACACUGACAAAGGAAUCCCAAGAAGAUGUAAAGAAGCAAGCCCUGGUCGAUACCUCAAGUGCUCGGCGAAAGGCUAGAACAAGAAUCAUCAUCGUUUAUGCGGAGUUCUAGUUAAUAUGGAGAGAUUAUAAGAGUUGUGGAUGGAAGAGAAAGUGAAGCUCUGUUCUAUACUCGUCAGCUAUUUGAUUGAAGACUUCAAUCGAAGACUGUCGUCGUUCUCGCAAAUCUUGAAUCGAGUUGAUCACGAAGACGACCCCAAGUCGACCUAGGACGAUGCAGAGAUUGGACAUCUCCGCAAGACGACGUUGUCAGUCG
rnacentral:misc_RNA from 1 species